rnacentral:rRNA from 1 species
UACAGAGGGUGCAAGCGUUGCUCGGAAUUAUUGGGCGUAAAGGGCAGGUAGGUGGUCUUAUUUGUCUAGGGUGAAAUCCCGGAGCUUAACUUCGGAAGUGCCUUAGAAACGGUAAGACUAGAGUCCUAGAGAGGUUUGUGGAAUUCCCGGUGUAGCGGUGAAAUGCGUAGAGAUCGGGAGGAAUACCAGCAGCGAAGGCGGCAAACUGGAUAGGCACUGACACUCAGCUGCGAAAGCGUGGGGAGCAAACAGG